rnacentral:rRNA from 1 species
GACGAACGCUGGCGGCGUGCUUAACACAUGCAAGUCGUGCGGAAAGGCCCUUCGGGGUGCUCGAGCGGCGAACGGGUGAGUAACACGUGGGUAACCUGCCUCUGGCUCUGGGAUAACUCCGGGAAACCGGGGCUAAUACUGGAUGUGACCUGGCUCCGCAUGGGGUUGGGUGGAAAGCCUUCGGGCGGCUGGGGAUGGGCCCGCAGCCUAUCAGCUUGUUGGUGGGGUGGUGGCUUACCAAGGCGAUGACGGGUAGCCGGCCUGAGAGGGCGAUCGGCCACACUGGGACUGAGACACGGCCCAGACUCCUACGGGAGGCAGCAGGUGGGGAAUAUUGCGCAAUGGGCGGAACGCCUGACGCAGCGACGCCGCGUGAGGGAUGACGGCC